GACGAACGCUGGCGGCGUGCUUAACACAUGCAAGUCGAACGGUAAGGCCCUUCGGGGUACACGAGUGGCGAACGGGUGAGUAACACGUGGGUGAUCUGCCCUGCACUUCGGGAUAAGCCUGGGAAACUGGGUCUAAUACCGGAUAGGACCACUGCCUGCAUGGGUGUGUGGUGGAAAGCUUUUGCGGUGUGGGAUGGGCCCGCGGCCUAUCAGCUUGUUGGUGGGGUAAUGGCCUACCAAGGCGACGACGGGUAGCCGGCCUGAGAGGGUGACCGGCCACACUGGGACUGAGAUACGGCCCAGACUCCUACGGGAGGCAGCAGUGGGGAAUAUUGCACAAUGGGCGCAAGCCUGAUGCAGCGACGCCGCGUGAGGGAUGACGGCCUUCGGGUUGUAAACCUCUUUCAGUAGGGACGAAGCGCAAGUGACGGUACCUACAGAAGAAGGACCGGCCAACUACGUGCCAGCAGCCGCAGUAA
rnacentral:rRNA from 1 species